AUUAGCAGCCAUAUCACCCUGCAAUUCACAACUGGCAGCCCACUGAAGCUCAGCAGGUGUGAGCCUGGUCAGUACCUGGAUAGGAGUCCUCCUGGGAAAAACUAAGGUUGCUGCUGGAA
rnacentral:rRNA from 1 species